GCAAAACGAGCAAAAGCACCGUCGCUGUAGGGUUUCUUCCCUGAAGAAAAGAGCCAUGAGCCACUCCAUAACCGAAACCGCUCUACCAUAGACGAAAGAGAAAGUUUGAACAAAAUGAAUGAAGAGAAUUCAAUAAUUUGCACCAGUCGGGGCCUGCACAUAAAUACUCGAAACCGACUCGAUAUUCUCUCUGCCAACUCUUCUGCCACUCCGGCACUCUCCUUCUUCGGUUGAAAUCCUUCGCGCUCCUUGCCUCUAUUCCGAUUCUUUUCCCGCUGUGUAGAUAUAUAUUGGGAUCGGAAUUCACGGCAAUCUGUCAUGAUUACCGAGAGGAGAGCCGCCAAGGCCUUCGGGGCGAAGACCGCUCGCUCCUGCGACAGCUGCUUGCUGCGGCGAGCCAGAUGGUACUGCGCCGCGGACGAUGCCUUCCUCUGCCAGGGCUGCGACUCCUCCGUGCACUCUGCGAACCAGCUGGCACGGCGGCACGAGAGGGUCCGCCUCGGGACAGCCUCCUUGUCGUCGUCUUCCAGGAUGGGCGGCACCGAGUUGCCGUCGUCAACCACAACCCAAUUUGUCGACAAUUCAGCUGCGCCGGCGUGGCACGGCGGGUUCACCCGCAAGGCCCGGACGCCCCGGAUCAGCAAGAAGAUCCUGCUCCGGUCGCAGGCGAGGAAUAACUACUGUGAGGACAACAAAGUCUUGAAACUGAACCUCGCUCUUGACGACGAUCUCAUUGAUCACGACCUAGUUCCUGAGAUUGGCAAUGACUUAGGAGGAUCUCCAAACGAGAAUUACAAUGAAGAAGAUGAAGAACAGUUUCUCUGUCGGGUGCCGGUUUUCGACCUUUUCGAGUCUGAGAUGGUCGGGGACGAGAUGGCGGUUAUGUUGCACAUGGAAGAUGAUGUUCUGCAAGACGGGUCGUUCGACAUGCCCUCGGAUGUGGACCUCGCGGAGUUCGCGGCCGACGUGGAGAACUUGUUGAGCAACGACAACGAUGAAGGGACCGAGGAUGACUUUGCGCGCGAUAUGAAGGACCUGGGAGUGUUGUUGGAAUGCAAAGAGGAAGGCCGUCAUGAAGAAGACGGUGGGAUUGGGGUUCGCUUUGAGAGAAGAAAUCAAGGAGUGGUGAAGGAGGAGGGAUUGAUGGGAGAAGGAGCUCUGGACUGCCACGUGGAGAUAGGGUUCGACAUGACGAACGGCGGCAAUGACGUGGACUGGGACUUGGAUUGCUAUAAUGAGAAUCACGGUCAGUCACUAAGGAUUGAAGGAGAGGAAGAGGAAGAGGAAGAGAAGAAGACGAGGACGGUGAUGAACGUCCACGUCGAAGGAAAGGCGGCCACGAUGAAGAAGAAGAGGAAGAUGUUGUUGAGGUUGAAUUAUGAGGGUGUGAUGGCCGCUUGGGCCAGUCAAGGCUCGCCGUGGACGACCGGAGAUCAACCCGAUUUCAACCCUGACGAGGGAUGGCCAAAUUCCAUCAUGGGUACCACGAGCCAUUCCUUGAAGUAUCACCGCCCGUUCGCAGAAGCGAUAGGGCUUAGGGCGCGCGUCAGGGGAGACGAUGGAGGGAGAGAAGCGAGAGUGUCGAGGUACAGAGAGAAGAGAAGGACCCGGAUGUUCUCCAAGAAAAUAAGGUACCAAGUGAGGAAGCUCAACGCUGAGAAGAGACCCCGGAUGAAAGGCCGCUUCAUCAAGCGGAUGUCCUUCAUCUAAUUGGAAUGAACCAAUAACAUACGCCGCAGGGAAUUCCUUCGACUUCCUGCACGAAGACGGCACAACGGAAUAAAAGCACUUAGGUCUGGGAAUGAUCGAAUAA